GCUGGGUAUGGUGGUGAGUGUCUGUAGUCCCAGUUACUGAGGAGGCUGAGGCAGGAGAAUCACUUGAACCCAGGAGAUGUAGUUUGCAGUGAGCCGAGAUCAUGCCACUGCAUUCCAGCCUGGGUGACAGAGUGAGACCCUGUCUCAA
rnacentral:SRP_RNA from 1 species